AACGAACGCUGGCGGCAGGCCUAACACAUGCAAGUCGAGCGCCCCGCAAGGGGAGCGGCAGACGGGUGAGUAACGCGUGGGAAUCUACCCAUCCCUACGGAAUAGCUCCGGGAAACUGGAAUUAAUACCGUAUACGCCCUACGGGGGAACGAUUUAUCGGGAAUGGAUGAGCCCGCGUUGGAUUAGCUAGUUGGUGGGGUAAAGGCCUACCAAGGCGACGAUCCAUAGCUGGUCUGAGAGGAUGAUCAGCCACAUUGGGACUGAGACACGGCCCAAACUCCUACGGGAGGCAGCAGUGGGGAAUAUUGGACAAUUGGGGCAACCCUGAUCCAGCCAUGCCGCGUGAGUGAUGAAGGCCUUAGGGUUGUAAAGCUCUUUCACCGGGGAAGAUAAUGACGGUACCCGGAGAAGAAGCCCCGGCUAACUUCGUGCCAGCAGCCGCGGUAA
rnacentral:rRNA from 1 species